AGAUCCGCAACUUGGAGAAAAGGAUUGGCUCUGAGGUGCCACCCGAGCAGAUCUUGGCAGUCA
rnacentral:rRNA from 1 species